CCUGACCCUAGAAGCGUUGUGGGUGUGGCUGCUGUGUCACAUGGGCAUCAGUAGGUGGCAAAGAGGAGAGAGGCUCCUCUACGCUCAGUGUUCUGACCUACGAACACCUGAAUGAUUAGGAACCUAAAAUU
ensembl:snoRNA